rnacentral:lncRNA from 10 species
AGACAGCCCUGAGAUCACCUAAAAAGCUGCUACCAAGACAGCCACGAAGAUCCUACCAAAAUGAAGCGCUUCCUCUUCCUCCUACUCACCAUCAGCCUCCUGGUUAUGGUACAGAGAGAAGCCUGGAUGUUCAGGAAUGCAAAGAAGACAGGACUCUCCCAUUUCAGAAACAACUGGAGUCUCAAAAGCGACUGCUAUUCCAGGAGGCAGCUUUGGUAGCAUCCCAGGUGCCCAGAGGGGAGUCAGUACAGCAGACCGGAGCCAUCAAGUUCUUGAUCAAGAACAGCUUGAUCACCAUCAAAACCAGCUUAAUCUCCAUCAAGAACAGUUCUAGUUGCAGCUCCAUCAAGCAUUAAGGACAGCUCGAUCACCAUCUGGCCACUUCCCCACCCCACAUCCAGCCACCCACGCUUUGCCAAGUGCUUUCUCACUCAGCCCUGGCUCAUGUGACCUUCACAACUGUGAUGAACUUCUCCCCACUCAGAAGAUGAAACUGAGGCUCAGGGAAGCUAAGCCCUUUGCCAGGCUAGGAAGGUCAAGGGCCAGGGCUCCCCUGUCUCCCUCUAUGCCAGAAGGGCUGGUCGCUGGGGAAAGGUGAAAAGAAAGGUUCUGUGACCGGGCACGGUGGCUCACGCCUAUAAUCCCAGCACUUUGGGAGGCCGAGGCAGGCGGAUCACCUGAGAUACAAACUGGACUCUCAGGACAAAACGACACCAGCCAAACCAGCAGCCCCUCAGCAUCCAGCAACAUAAGCGGAGGCAUUUUCCUUUUCUUCGUGGCCAAUGCCAUAAUCCACCUCUUCUGCUUCAGUUGAGGUGACACGUCUCAGCCUUAGCCCUGUGCCCCCUGAAACAGCUGCCACCAUCACUCGCAAGAGAAUCCCCUCCAUCUUUGGGAGGGGUUGAUGCCAGACAUCACCAGGUUGUAGAAGUUGACAGGCAGUGCCAUGGGGGCAACAGCCAAAAUAGGGGGGUAAUGAUGUAGGGGCCAAGCAGUGCCCAGCUGGGGGUCAAUAAAGUUACCCUUGUACUUGCA